rnacentral:lncRNA from 1 species
CUUUUUCCUCCUCCAGUUCCAGUUCCAUCUCCAGGUGGCACCUGGGCUCUGAUGUGUGGUACGAGUAACAGAGACUCUGCUGACUGCACAGUCCUUUGAGCUGCUUGUUCACUAGGCGGGGCCCAGGUCCAUGAGACUUAGCAGGCUGAGCCAUGAAGUUAACCAGGCAUAUUGCCUGUAGUCCCGGCUACCCAGGAGGCUGAAGCAGGAGGAUGGGCAACAGAGUGAGACCCUGGCUCAAAAAAAAAAAAAAAGGAGUUGAAUCUGUGUUCUCCUGGGACUUCCAAACAAUGAGUAAGCAAAUGAGAUUGUUUCAGGUGGCUGCUAUGGAGAAAAUAAAACAGGAUAAUAUAAGGCAAUUGACCUCAGAGGAGGAGAAUGGAGAGGGAUUUGUUAUUUGAGGGGAAAUAUUUGGGCUGAGCCCUGAAUGUUGAGGAAUCAGCCAUGCAAAGAUUUAGGGGAGCGGCAGGGCAAAGGCCCCAAGGCAGGAUGCCUCGACUUUUUCAAGAAAUGUAAGAAGGUCCAGGAGGCUGGAGGGCAGUGAGCGAGGGGUGGUGUUGGGGGACGUGAGGCCAGAGUGGUGGCUGGGCGGGCAGGGUCCCACUUAUCAGGCUCCUUGUCGUGAAGGACUGGUUGUGGUCUCAUUUGGCUGGGUGGGAGGCCAAGGGACAGAGUGGUAGACGAGAUGAUUCUGUGUUGAUUCCCUCUGUCUGCAUCCAAAAGAAAUCAGCUU